rnacentral:rRNA from 1 species
CACGGACCGCACGAACGUUUAUUCGGUAUCACUGGGCUUAAAGGGUGCGUAGGCGGCUUUGCAAGUUGGGUGUGAAAGCCCUCGGCUCAACCGAGGAAUUGCGCUCAAUACUGCCGAGCUAGAGAGAGACAGAGGUAAGCGGAACUAAUGGUGGAGCGGUGAAAUGCGUUGAUAUCAUUAGGAACACCGGUGGCGAAGGCGGCUUACUGGGUCUUUUCUGACGCUGAGGCACGAAAGCCAGGGGAGCAAACGGG